AAAGGCGGGAUUACGAAUCUUGGAUUACGAAAUGUUGAUCACAAUAAACAACAAACCUGCAUUCCGGAUUACAGAAAAUUAGAGUGUAAGCCUUCCCCUUGAACUUGCAAAGCCAAGACUUGCACUCUCAGUCCAGCAAGCCACAGAUAGAAGGCGGCGCAAGAGACAGAUGCACAUGAAGUGUUGUACGUGGCAGGGAUUCACUAAGAGCAGCACCAACCAGCCAAUCAGAGCGAGGCUACUUACUCUCAUCCCCUCCAGCCUAGAGAGGGCUCGAAGGGGGCGCAGGGCCCUGAGGGUUCUCAUGGUUUUAAAGGCGGGGAUGUUGCCGUAGCCCAUUAAUCCCACAGACAGAUUAAAUAUGGAAACCUACGGUUCGGUUUGAGGUAGGCAGGAUGCGCCGGAAAACAAAAAAAGGAUCCUGAGACCCCUUUUCGACGAUUCUACCUCGCUAAGGGGUGAGAUGUGGAAGGAUAAACACAUUUUAGGAAAUUCUUCGUCGUUCUUUGAUUAUGAUUUCCAUCCUAUUAACUACUUUGUCGUUCAUUUUUUUCCCCACAUGUAUAUGAACGACGUGUCAUUUCUGACUUUACUAUUUUAUUUUAACUCAAAAUUGUGUAUUAUUUACUUAUAUGGCCAAUUCAAGUCGAACUUUUAAGAAUGGCACAAAUAAUAACAAAUUAAAAAAAAGGAAGUGUUUUAACAUAAAAAUUAUCAUUAUUUUGUGAAAAAGGGAACUAACAAAUUUUAACAACAAAAAUCUUCCAUUUAUUCAUCAGAAUGUAAUCAUUAGGCCUCUUAUAGUAGAUAAAAAUUGUUCUAAAGUAUUUUAUUGUGAAUUAGAAUUUUUUCCCCCUGAAUAUUGAGAUUUAUCCACAGUUUUCUCGUUCUAAUAAAUCCGCCAAUAAUCUGAAUUCACUUUAUUGUUAAAUAUAAACAUAUCUUAUUUUCAUCUUUCUUCUCUCCCCUAUUUUGAUUAAAUCAACGCAUCCUGACGCAUGCGGAAUAGCGCGAAGUGUUUUCGAAUCCGUGAAUGAACCUUAGACGAGCUAAAAGUUUGGUAAACAGACAUGCAAAAUGAAGCACAGAACUACUUACUAAAGCUA